ACAUCCGCUGCCAGCAGCCGCGGUAAUACGGAGGGGGCAAGCGUGUUCGGAAUUAUUGGGCGUAAAGGGCAUGUAGGCGGUUUGGUAAGUUAAAGUGAAAUACCAGGGCUUAACCCUGGGGCUGCUCUUAAUACUGCAGACUAUAGUCCGGAAUAGGAUAGCUGAAUCCUAGUGUAUAGUGAAAUUCUACAUAUUAUGAGAACACCAGUAGCGAAGCGGCGUUCUGGUCCGUACUGACCUAAUGUGCAAUACGUGGGAGCAAUCAGAUUAAUACCCUGGUAGUCCACGCUGUAAACGAUAAGUGCUAA
rnacentral:rRNA from 1 species